CCCCCAAACGUUACAUCAUAUACUUGCACUUCUUGGUUGUGAAUGUGAAUCCACCCAUCAAGGAAACUUAAAUCUGCAGAUAUUAAGUUUUCCUUGCUUCCAUAUAUUAUCUUGGCCAAAGCAACAGCAAUUUUCUUCUUACCACAGCUAUCGGGUCCGUGGAAAUUGAACCAUAUAUCCUGUCUCAGAGUUGUUCCUUGGCUUCUUUCAUAUCUUGUCC
rnacentral:misc_RNA from 1 species